GGCAUGGUUGUCGUCAGCUCGUGUCGUGAGAUGUUGGGUUAAGUCCCGCAACCGAGCGCAACCCCUACUUGUUAGUUGCCAGUCAUUCAGUUGGGCACUCUAGCGAGACUGCCGGUAAUAAACCGGAGGAAGGUGGGGAUGACGUCAAGUCCUCAUGGCCUUUAUGACCAGGGCUACACACGUACUACAAUGGCCGGUACAAAGGGCAGCCACUUAGCGAUAAGGAGCCAAUCCCGUAAAGCCGGUCUCAGUCCGGAUUGGAGUCUGCAACUCGACUCCAUGAAGUUGGAAUCGCUAGUAAUCGCAGAUCAGCACGCUGCGGUGAAUACGUUCCCGGGCCUU
rnacentral:rRNA from 1 species